GAGUUUGAUCAUGGCUCAGAUUGAACGCUGGCGGCAUGCCUUACACAUGCAAGUCGAACGGCAGCACGGGAGCUUGCUCCUGGGUGGCGAGUGGCGAACGGGUGAGUAAUGCAUCGGAACGUAUCCUGGAGUGGGGGAUAACGUAGCGAAAGUUACGCUAAUACCGCAUAUUCUGUGAGCAGGAAAGCGGGGGACCUUCGGGCCUCGCGCUCUUGGAGCGGCCGAUGUCGGAUUAGCUAGUUGGUGAGGUAAAGGCUCACCAAGGCGACGAUCCGUAGCAGGUCUGAGAGGAUGAUCUGCCACACUGGAACUGAGACACGGUCCAGACUCCUACGGGAGGCAGCAGUGGGGAAUUUUGGACAAUGGGGGCAACCCGUGAUCCAGCCAUGCCGCGUGAGUGAAGAAGGCC
rnacentral:rRNA from 1 species